rnacentral:rRNA from 1 species
CCUACGUGUGGCAGCAGUGGGGGAUAUUGCACAAUGGGGGAAACCCUGAUGCAGCGACGCCGCGUGGGUGCAGAAGCGCCUCGGCGCGUAAAGCCCUGUCAGCAGGGAAGAAAAUGACGGUACUUGACGAAGAAGCCCCGGCUCACUACGUGCCAGCAGCCGCGGUAAUACGCAGGGGGCAAGCGUUAUCCGGAUUUACUGGGGGUAAAGGGGGCGCAGACGGCGCUGAAAGCCAGGAGUGAAUGCACGGGGCCAAACCCCGGGACUGCUCUUGGAACUGCGUGGCGAGAGGGCAGGAGGGGCAGGCGGAAUUACUGGUGUAGCGGUGAAAUGCGUAGAUAUCAGGAGGAACACCGGUGGCGAAGGCGGCCUGCUGGACUGCAACUGACGUUGAGGCCCGAAAGCGUGGGGAGCAAACAGGAUUAGAUACCCGAGUAGUC